rnacentral:rRNA from 1 species
UACGUAGGUGGCAAGCGUUGUCCGGAUUUAUUGGGUUUAAAGGGUGCGUAGGCGGUUUUCUAAGUCAGCAGUGAAAUACGGCAGCUCAACUGUCGAGGUGCUGUUGAUACUGGGGAACUUGAGUACUGAUGAGGUAGGCGGAAUGGACGGUGUAGCGGUGAAAUUCGUAGAUAUUCGGAAGAACACCAGUGGCGAAGGCGGCUCACUGGCCCGGUACUGACGCUGAGGUGCGAAAGCGUGGGGAGCAAACAGG